CAUGUACUCCUCCGAUUCAAAUUACUUGUCACAGCUUUGUCUAGAUAUGCAUGUAUCUAUACGCGUUUCAGUGUAUAAGUAUAUGUGUAUCUAGACAAAGUUGCGACAUAUAAUUUGAAUCAGAGAGAGUGCCAA
rnacentral:pre_miRNA from 1 species